rnacentral:rRNA from 1 species
UGCAAGUCGAGCGGACAGAUGGGAGCUUGCUCCCUGAUGUUAGCGGCGGAGGGGAGUGACACGUGGGUAACCUGCCUGUAAGACUGGGAUAACCCGGGAAACCGGGGCUAAUACCGGAUGCUUGUUUGAACCGCAUGGUUCAAACAUAAAAGGUGGCUUCGGCUACCACUUACAGAUGGACCCGCGGCGCAUUAGCUAGUUGGUGAGGUAACGGCUCACCAAGGCAACGAUGCGUAGCCGACCUGAGAGGGUGAUCGGCCACACUGGGACUGAGACACGGCCCAGACUCCUACGGGAGGCAGCAGUAGGGAAUCUUCCGCAAUGGACGAAAGUCUGACGGAGCAACGCCGCGUGAGUGAUGAAGGUUUUCGGAUCGUAAAGCUCUGUUGUUAGGGAAGAACAAGUACCGUUCGAAUAGGGCGGUACCUUGACGGUACCUAACCAGAAAGCCACGGCUAACUACGUGCCAGCAGCCGCGGUAAUACGUAGGUGGCAAGCGUUGUCCGGAAUUAUUGGGCGUAAAGGGCUCGCAGGCGGUUUCUUAAGUCUGAUGUGAAAGCCCCCGGCUCAACCGGGGAGGGUCAUUGGAAACUGGGGAACUUGAGUGCAGAAGAGGAGAGUGGAAUUCCACGUGUAGCGGUGAAAUGCGUAGAGAUGUGGAGGAACACCAGUGGCGAAGGCGACUCUCUGGUCUGUAACUGACGCUGAGGAGCGAAAGCGUGGGGAGCGAACAGGAUUAGAUACCCUGGUAGUCCACGCCGUAAACGAUGAGUGCUAAGUGUUAGGGGGUUUCCGCCCCUUAGUGCUGCAGCUAACGCAUUAAGCACUCCGCCUGGGGAGUACGGUCGCAAGACUGAAACUCAAAGGAAUUGACGGGGGCCCGCACAAGCGGUGGAGCAUGUGGUUUAAUUCGAAGCAACGCGAAGAACCUUACCAGGUCUUGACAUCCUCUGACAAUCCUAGAGAUAGGACGUCCCCUUCGGGGGCAGAGUGACAGGUGGUGCAUGGUUGUCGUCAGCUCGUGUCGUGAGAUGUUGGGUUAAGUCCCGCAACGAGCGCAACCCUUGAUCUUAGUUGCCAGCAUUCAGUUGGGCACUCUAAGGUGACUGCCGGUGACAAACCGGAGGAAGGUGGGGAUGACGUCAAAUCAUCAUGCCCCUUAUGACCUGGGCUACACACGUGCUACAAUGGACAGAACAAAGGGCAGCGAAACCGCGAGGUUAAGCCAAUCCCACAAAUCUGUUCUCAGUUCGGAUCGCAGUCUGCAACUCGACUGCGUGAAGCUGGAAUCGCUAGUAAUCGCGGAUC